CAGCGUUGGCUCGUCUGUGAGGGUGACUCAGGUGACCUGGAGCUGGAACAUGGCUCUCGUUAAGCGGGCGCCGGCGUGGCCUCUGGCCUCUGACCUUGACCUUGACUUUGAACGCCCCGACGCCCGAGUGGGACAAUUCAGGACAGAUGGACGACGUUGACAAGAAGCCGGCCGCCGCUCACCCCCCGGCGACCGUGCUGAGGGACAAGGCUCACAACAACGGGAUUUUGAAGCGAAGCUCUCGCUGGCUCACCAGUGGCGACAGCCACGACAGCGGCGCCAGCGACAGCCAUGAUGCGUCUCACAACGGAC